UACGUAGGGUGCAAGCGUUGUCCGGAAUUAUUGGGCGUAAAGAGCUCGUAGGCGGUUUGUCGCGUCUGCUGUGAAAACCCGAGGCUCAACCUCGGGCCUGCAGUGGGUACGGGUAGACUAGAGUGCGGUAGGGGAGAUUGGAAUUCCAGGUGUAGCGGUGAAAUGCGUAGAUAUCUGGAGGAACACCGGUGGCGAAGGCGGCAUCCUGGACCGGCAGUUGACGCUGAGGCGCGAAAGCCAGGGAGC
rnacentral:rRNA from 1 species